rnacentral:rRNA from 1 species
UAAUACGAAGGUGUCUAGCGUUGUUCGGAAUCACUGGGCGUAAAGCGCGCGCAGGCGGACUAUCAAGUCUGGGGUGAAAUCCCGAAGCUUAACUUCGGAAUUGCCUUGGAAACUGAUAGUCUUGAGUAUGAGAGGGGAUAGCGGAAUUCCAAAUGUAGAGGUGAAAUUCGUAGAUAUUUGGAGGAACACCGGUGGCGAAGGCGGCUAUCUGGCUCAUAACUGACGCUGAGGCGCGAAAGCGUGGGGAUCAAACAGG